GUAUUUGAAUUGUUUAUUCAUAAUAGUUUUCAGACAGAUAGUUAAAAUAAUAAGUUGAUGUUUGGCCGUUUUCAUAAAGAAAACGACCGACAUUGCACACAAGGUGGAUAUGGAUUUAAAAAGUGCCAUAAACACUUAUUAUGAAUGAUCCUUCCGCAGGUUCACCUACGGAAA
rnacentral:misc_RNA from 1 species